UCUCAGCUCUUUGACUUUCUGCUGCAUGGGGAGGUGGCCGAGCAGCCGCGCACCGAAGUGGCCUUCAAUUUACGAGGACUGCAGGGUGGUGGAGAAGAGGAUCGAGGACUUCACUGAGUCACUCUUCAUCUUGACUAAGUCCAAGUGGCUGGACGGUGCAUCCGACAAUUUUGGGGACAAGAUCCUCCUUCUCUGCAUCCCAUUUGAGAAGGAGGACAUCAUGGGACUGGACACAGAAAGCAGUACGUUUUGGUUACUGAGUCCCUCGAAUUCCCAUAUGAAUAGUAGCAGCAGCUAGUCAGUUACUGCAGAGGAGCCCGCUGGGAUUGUGAUCGAGACCACGUUGAGUAUACAGAUCGCUCUGGGGAGCACUGCCAUCCCAAGAGCGCUGUCAUCUGAUCCAGGAAUGUGCGUGGUGUGUCUGUCCAGGUGCCCUCACCUCCAGUGGCAUCCAUCCAGACACCAGCACUGACACUGGCCGUGCUCAGAACUGCCUCAGCCCUGAAGACACAACUGACAAAUAGAAGGGGGCUAUGCCCUGUGACAGCAGGUGCUCUCAAUUUGUGGGUCCUUAUGUAACUGCGCAGUGUUAUUCAGGAUCGCCCGUUCUACACUGUGUGACGCUGCUGCCGUGUCUCCUAGUUAUUUCUGCUCGAUGAGUUUUCACUGGAGGGAAUUGAUCUUACAGAAGAUGGACUUAACUCAGGCCUCUUCAGAAUGGACAAAUGAACCUGGAGAAAGACAGUCAAAUCUGUGCAGACAUUGAAGUUCACGUGAACGUGCUGUAUCCCUGAGCCAAAGAUAGGACAAGUAGGCAGCACUUCUUGAGGACAGAGGGGUGGUUUUUAAGGUUCUCCAAGAAUGAAUCCCAGGGAACCGGGAUGGCCAGUUGUCAAACUGUGACUUUGCUCUUUGGACGGUGUGCCCACCAAAGGAGAGGAAAAGAAGUCUAAACUUACUUUCCAGUUGAAAAUGGAAUGGAGAGUUAACGUUGGAAGCCGGGAGAGUCUGUCCUGUGAUGAAGCGGCCUCCUAGCCACUUCCACUGGGACGUCACAUCACUGUCUGGGCCCCUUGCUCAGCCUGUGCACAGGUGACAGCGCAGAUGUGCCGAGCAGUCCUCCCAGACAGGGCAGUGGGUUGGAAAGGAGUUUGGGGAUUUGGUUUCAUUUCAUAGGUUUCUGAGGGCCUUGGCCUGGCACUUCGAGUGGGACCAUUCCCUGUCCCACAUACUCGUGCUCUGGGCCCGUGCAGGCCUGAUGUGGCCUCAGCCUGAGGCUCAGGGCCCGUGGUGAAGUGGAGAAUUUUAGUCCAGGGUCUGUGGAGGCUCUGACAAUUCUGGGUCGUGGGACAUUGUCCAGGAUGAUAAUAAUUCCUCCCCGAGUUUCAGAUUUCCUUGCCUGUGAGACGGGGUAGUAAUAGUUUCUGAGAUGAUUGUAAUGAUUCAGUAAGGGGCGCAGCGUGUGCUGGCAGGUAGCUGGUGUUUAAGGAGCAGAAGUCGCAGUCACUCUGUCAGCCUCUCACUGUGUGCUCUGUGCUUUGAGAAGAUGUGUGUUUGGUGAAAGUCCUGCCCAAAUACUAGGGUCUAGAUGAAACGUUGUUCCUUUACUUUCCCUUUAUUUUGCUCCUUCCUUUCUCUGCGUCUCAUGUGUAGGGAGCAGAUUCCUCUGUUUCAGGGAAUACAGGCCUUUCUAGGAAAAGGACAGGAUGAACGUGGAUAGGUGGGGCCGGAGGGGGUCUGGAGCAUCUGCACAGCGCUGCUUCCCUGCAUUUCUGCAUCCAGUCCCAUCAGUGCAUGAAGUCAGCCUUCCUCUUCCUUCCUGUGUCAUCAGGUCUCUGUUUUA